GACUCGUUAGCUCAGCGGUCAGAGCAACCCGUCUGAUUCAGUAGAGGUGGUCGGGGGUUCAAAUCCCUCACGAGUCG
rnacentral:tRNA from 1 species